GGAGCAAAUCCCUAAAAGCCAUCUCAGUUCGGAUUGCAGGCUGCAACUCGCCUGCAUGAAGCUGGAAUUGCUAGUAAUCGCGGAUCAGCAAGCCGCGGUGAAUACGUUCCCGGGCCUUGUACACACCGCCCGUCACACCAUGAGAGUCGGGAACACCCGAAGUCCGUAGUCUAACCGCAAGGGGGGCGCGGCCGAAGGUGGGUCCGGUAAUUGGGGGUGAAGUCGUAACAAGGUAUC
rnacentral:rRNA from 1 species